rnacentral:rRNA from 1 species
CAGCCGCCGCGGUAAUACGAAGGGGGCUAGCGUUGUUCGGAUUUACUGGGCGUAAAGGGUGCGUAGGCGGAUUGUUAAGUCAGGGGUGAAAUCCCGAGGCUCAACCUCGGAACUGCCUUUGAUACUGGCGAUCUUGAGUCCGGGAGAGGUGAGUGGAACUGCGAGUGUAGAGGUGAAAUUCGUAGAUAUUCGCAAGAACACCGGUGGCGAAGGCGGCUCACUGGCCCGGAACUGACGCUGAGGCACGAAAGCGUGGGGAGCAAACAGGAUUAGAGACCCCAGUAGUCCCUGUCUCUUAUAC